AGAACGAACGCUGGCGGCAUGCCUAACACAUGCAAGUCGAACGAGACCUUCGGGUCUAGUGGCGCACGGUGCGUAACGCGUGGGGAUCUGCCCUUGGGUUCGGGAUAACAGUUGGAAACGACUGCUAAUACCGGAUGAUGACUUCGGUCCAAAGAUUUAUCGCCCAGGGAUGAGCCCGCGUAGGAUUAGCUAGGUUGGUAGGAGGUAAAGGCUACACCAAGGCGACGAUCCGUUAGCUGGUCUGAGAGGAUGAUCAGACCACACGUGGAC
rnacentral:rRNA from 1 species